rnacentral:rRNA from 1 species
AUCUACAGCCAUACCACCCUGAACAAGCCUGAUGUCUGAUCUAGAAGCUAAGCAGGAUUGGGCCUGGUUAGUACUUGAUGGGAGAACACCUAGGAAGACCAGGUGCUGUAGGCA